UCUAUCAAGAUAAUAUCCAUAACACUCCCCUUUAAGUUGGAGUAUAGAUGUUAGUCAUGCCCAACUUGUUUCAAAUAUUGUCAAUUCGAGUUCCACUUAGAGCUUUUGUGAAAAUAUCUCUUAACUGCUCUCCAGUUUUGACGUGUCCCGUUGACAUGAUCUUUUGUUGAAUUUUUUCACGAACAAAGUGAUAAUCUAUUUCAAUAUGUUUAGUCCGUUCAUGAAACACAGGAUUAGAUGUAAUAUGGAGUGCAGCUUGAUUAUCACACCAUAGUUGUGCAGGUAGAGAGAUCUUGAGGCUAAUCUCAUCUAAGAACUGAAGUAUCUACAUUAUCUCACACACUGAUUGAGCCAUAGCUCUAUACUCUGAUUCAGCACUAUAUCGAGAAACUACACUUUGUUUUUUACUUUUCCAUGAUACCAAAUUUUCUCCAAUAAAGACACAAUAUCCGAUUGUUGACCUUUUAUCAGUCUUGGACCCUGCUUAGUCUGCAUCUAAAAAAAAACUCUACAUUCAAAUGCCCAUGAUUAGUAUAUAAUAAUUCUCGCCCUGGAGCUCCCUUCAAAU
rnacentral:misc_RNA from 1 species